rnacentral:misc_RNA from 1 species
AUAGAUCAUUCAAAAGGAAACACAAUUGAGAAAUAUUGUACAAGACAAAAUUCAGAAGUCAUUAGGUAGGCAGAGAGUAAUGUCAUACAUGCAUCAAAUAACGCAUGUUCCAGUAAAUAAAACUUUGAUCAGGUAUGCUACUUCAAACAAAUCUAAGGUUUGAACUAUGAAGUGAUGAAUUUACGCCAAUAUAAACUCCAGGACUUCUUUAUCAGACUCAGGUACCUAAUCAACAAGAUUUAGCAUUUCAUGCAUGUUAUACAUCCAGUCCACAAAAAUUUAUGAGAUAUCUCAUCAUUAAGUCACAGUGACCAUAUUAUUAUGUUAUGAAAUUGCUGUUCCGAAAGUGACAGCUAGAUUGAUGCAAGGCUAGUGACAGAGAAGUGAAUCUGAAUAAAAGAGGAGGUCAUGGGGGUGAUAAAGGUAAAAAUGCAUGUUCUUAUAAAUGAGUAUUUAGGAAGAAACCGAACAGUUCUCAAAAUCCCCGACCUUGCAGCAAAGAAUAACAUUUGUCACCCAUCAUUAAACCAGACAAAACAGAACAAUUACGCAGGAAAAUAAAUAUAUUCAAACAAAAUAUGGGAGAGUCAUCACUACAACUUCUUAGUGCAAAGAUACAACUUCUAUUAAUUUCAGAAAUCAUCAACCGCGUUGUAGUUUAAUUAUGCAACAUAGAGUGCAUUAG